rnacentral:rRNA from 1 species
UGAACGCUGGCGGCGUGCCUAAUACAUGCAAGUCGAGCGAACAGACGAGGAGCUUGCUCCUCUGACGUUAGCGGCGGACGGGUGAGUAACACGUGGAUAACCUACCUAUAAGACUGGGAUAACUUCGGGAAACCGGAGCUAAUACCGGAUAAUAUAUUGAACCGCAUGGUUCAAUAGUGAAAGACGGUUUUGCUGUCACUUAUAGAUGGAUCCGCGCCGCAUUAGCUAGUUGGUAAGGUAACGGCUUACCAAGGCAACGAUGCGUAGCCGACCUGAGAGGGUGAUCGGCCACACUGGAACUGAGACACGGUCCAGACUCCUACGGGAGGCAGCAGUAGGGAAUCUUCCGCAAUGGGCGAAAGCCUGACGGAGCAACGCCGCGUGAGUGAUGAAGGUCUUCGGAUCGUAAAACUCUGUUAUUAGGGAAGAACAAAUGUGUAAGUAACUUUGCACGUCUUGACGGUACCUAAUCAGAAAGCCACGGCUAACUACGUG